CCUACGGGCGGCAGCAGUGGGGAAUAUUGCACAAUGGGCGAAAGCCUGAUGCAGCAACGCCGCGUGAAGGAAGACGGUUUUCGGAUUGUAAACUUCUAUCAAUAGGGAAGAAAGAAAUGACGGUACCUAAAUAAGAAGCCCGGCUAAAUACGUGCCAAAAGGCCGCGGAAUACGUAGGGGGCAAGCGUUUUCCGGAAUUACUGGGUGUAAAGGGAGAGUAGGCGGCAAGGUAAGCGAUAUGUGAAAGCCUUAAGCUUAAAUAAAGGAUUGCAUAACGAACUAUCUAGCUAGAGUACAGGAGAGGAAAGCGGAAUUCCUAGUGUAGCGGUGAAAUGCGUAGAUAUUAGGAAGAACACCAGUGGCGAAGGCGGCUUUCUGGACUGAAACUGACGCUGAGGCUCGAAAGCGUGGGGAGCGAACAGGAUUAGAUACCCCAGUAGUC
rnacentral:rRNA from 1 species